rnacentral:rRNA from 1 species
CGGACGGGUGGGUAAUGUCUGGGAAACUGCCUGAUGGAGGGGGAUAACUACUGGAAACGGUAGCUAAUACCGCAUAACGUCGCAAGACCAAAGAGGGGGACCUUAGGGCCUCUUGCCAUCGGAUGUGCUCAGAUGGGAUUAGCUAGUAGGUGGGGUAAAGGCUCACCUAGGCGACGAUCCCUAGCUGGUCUGAGAGGAUGACCAGCCACACUGGAACUGAGACACGGUCCAG